AAGAGUGGAGGGCCAAGUAAUAGUCAACAACUACAAGAACAGCAACCAACUCCUGCCUCAUACAAUAUGCAACUGUUUGAUAACAUUUAUCCCGGUUACAUGUCACUUAUGGAGUCUAUUUCCCAUAUGUCAUCUCAAGCAUCUGCAGUUCAUCAAUCACAAGCAUCUGCAGUUCAUCAAUCACUAGAUGAAGAUUGUAUUUAGAUUCAUUUAAUGAGGAACAUUAUUUAUUUGCUAUUAAAUACAUUCAGUUAAUGAGGAA